ACGGGUGAGUAAUGUCUGGGGAUCUGCCCGAUAGAGGGGGAUAACCACUGGAAACGGUGGCUAAUACCGCAUAACGUCGCAAGACCAAAGAGGGGGACCUUCGGGCCUCUCACUAUCGGAUGAACCCAGAUGGGAUUAGCUAGUAGGCGGGGUAAUGGCCCACCUAGGCGACGAUCCCUAGCUGGUCUGAGAGGAUGACCAGCCACACUGGAACUGAGACACGGUCCAGACUCCUACGGGAGGCAGCAGUGGGGAAUACUGCACAAUGGGCGCAAGCCUGAUGCAGCCAUGCCGCGUGUAUGAAGAAGGCCUUCGGGUUGUAAAGUACUUUCAGCGGGGAGGAAGGCGGUGCGGUUAAUAACCGUGCCGAUUGACGUUACCCGCAGAAGAAGCACCGGCUAACUCCGUGCCAGCAGCCGCGGUAAUACGGAGGGUGCAAGCGUUAAUCGGAAUUACUGGGCGUAAAGCGCACGCAGGCGGUCUGUUAAGUCAGAUGUGAAAUCCCCGGGCUUAACCUGGGAACUGCAUUUGAAACUGGCAGGCUUGAGUCUUGUAGAGGGGGGUAGAAUUCCAGGUGUAGCGG
rnacentral:rRNA from 1 species